rnacentral:lncRNA from 1 species
UUACUUACUAAGAAGGUAGUGAUUUUUGUGACAGGUAACGUGCUAGUAUUUAGUCAGUAAAUAUGACGACUUUAUUUUUUAAGAGUGUAAGAAUUAGUUUUAAGAGUAAGAGUUAAGAAUACCAUCCGUGAGCUGCCGCGAGCAUCGGAAGAAAAGAAAAAGUACGUGAAAUGAAGUUAACAGACACUGAUUACUUCUUUUUAUUCUUUCUUGCUAAAACUAAAAAAAACGUUUUGCGUAUAAAUGAACUUAUACUUUGCGACCUAUCUUUCUUGCGUCACCUGGCAACAAGCAAACGGCACGCUACAGCAGCCAGAUGUAUGCGUCAUGCGCCAGACACGCCGUCUAAGCGAGCGAAGCCUGCUGCGCAUGUGAGCGUUGGGCACGUUCGGCGACCCAUCUGCCCGUUUUUCUUUCUUUUUCUCUUUCUUGAACUUAGCCUGGUUCGUUGGUAUCCGGCGUGUCCUUGCGCUCCUUGUGCACUUUGGGACGGCACCACUGGACUAUCUCAAGCUGAAGCGGUCCGGUGGAGCUUGGCACGGCAAAUACCACCGCUUACCUGGCGCCACAAGGUUGAAUGAACGCACAAAAAGCCCGGAUCGAGCAUUUACAUACAGCAAAAUAAACAUUUCCUCAUCUCACAA